rnacentral:tRNA from 1 species
GCCGCGAUGGUGGAAUUGGUAGACACGCUGGUCUUAGGAACCAGUACCUUAGGGUGUGGAAGUUCGAAUCUUCUUCGCGGUA